rnacentral:rRNA from 1 species
AAUGAACGCUGGCGGCAGGCCUAAAACAUGCAAGUCGAACGCCCUAGCAAUAGGGAGUGGCGCACGGGUGAGUAACAUGUGGGAAUAUGCCUUUUGGUACGGAACAACGUUUGGAAACGAACGCUAAUACCGAAUGAUGUAACUUUUCUGCAUGGGAGAGUUACCAAAGGCGGCCUCUAUUUAUAAGCUGUCACUGAGAGAUGGGUCUGCGUCUGAUUAGCUAGUUGGCGGGGUAAUGGCCCACCAAGGCGACGAUCAGUAGCCGGUCUGAGAGGAUGAACGGCCACAUUGGGACUGAGACACGGCCCAAACUCCUACGGGAGGCAGCAGUGGGGAAUCUUCCGCAAUGGACGAAAGUCUGACGGAGCAACGCCGCGUGAGUGAAGAAGGUUUUCGGAUCGUAAAGCUCUGUUGUUUGAGACGAACGUGCAAUUUUUGAAUAAGGAAUUGUAAUGACGGUAUUAAACGAGAAAGCCACGGCUAACUCCGUGCCAGCCGCCGCUGUAAAAC